rnacentral:rRNA from 1 species
CCUACGGGAGGCAGCAGUGAGGAAUAUUGGUCAAUGGACGCAAGUCUGAACCAGCCAUGCCGCGUGCAGGAAGACGGCUCUAUGAGUUGUAAACUGCUUUUGUACGAGGGUAAACUCCGGUAUGUGUACCUCUCUGCAUGUAUCUUACGAAUAAGGAUCGGCUAACUCCGUGCCAGCAGCCGCGGUAAUACGGAGGAUCCGAGCGUUAUCCGGAUUUAUUGGGUUUAAAGGGUGCGUAGGCGGUCGGUUAAGUUAGAGGUGAAAUCCCGAGGCUCAACUUCGGAAUUGCAGUUGAUACUGGUAGGCUAGAGAGUAGUUGAGGUAGGCGGAAUGCAUGGUGUAGCGGUGAAAUGCUUAGAGAUCAUGAAGAACACCGAUUGCGAAGGCAGCUUGC